rnacentral:lncRNA from 10 species
UCUGACAUGAACUGGAACAACACCAUCAGCUCUCCCGGAUCUCCAGCUUGCAGACAGCAGAUCAUGGGACUUUUCAGCUUCUGUAAUUGGGAGGUGGUUGAGAACCAUUGACGUAGACUGACUUAGCAGAUCUUCAAAUGUGAAUAGGGAAUCCUGCCAUUCCACUGAUGAGAACAGCAUGCUUAGGAUAUUGCUUCUGAGAAGAUCAACACUAAUGAACCAACAGCCAUAUUGAAGAGCCUGGUCUGUAUCAAUGUAAUGGGACAUUUGAAGUAACAAGACCAUGUGCUUAGAGACUUGUAGAUUAAACCCAGGUCUCUGAUUCCUCACUAGUAUGUUUUCGUAAUAAUCCAUGGUUCUGACUGUUUAAAAGUAGCUUUUAUAUUUAUUGGGUAGAAAUAUCUUCCUGUAACAUAUGUCAUCUGCAGCUUCCAUAGAGGCAUCCUGUUGUAUGUAGUGGCCACAUAACAGACUGCAAAGAACUGGAACGCAGAGUAAUUUUAAUCCAAAAUGUUCAAAGGAUGAACAAAACUGCAAUAAAGCAGAGUAAGCAGAUAGGAUGCGUGGCUCUCACAGAGAGGAAAGGAAGGAAGGGGCAAGUAAAUACAGCACUGCCAACUGACACAUCCAGACAGUCAACACUGGGACUAAUCAAGGAAACAACUCGACCCACAGAGAAUGGAGAAGAGCAAGGCAGGACGACGGCCCAUCUGGGAGCAGAAUGUGGAGCCAAGGGAACCUCCCUUGCCAAUGCCUCUAAAGAUGACCACCUAUGAGACUUCAUCUACAUUCCCUGGAAGAGAGAACUGAUGGGAGAUGAAUGAAAUGAUAGGAUAGAAGCCUGGCGGAUAUCUGGACAGAACUAUGCAAGAGCCUUCCUGAGAAUGGAAGCCACAGGAGGGAAAACGGAACUUGGGAAAGGAAAGAGUAAAGUGGAAUUUCAAUGACAUCAUUUAAAUGCCUGGAUCCAAAAGUGUCUGGACAUUCAAUAUCAAAAUAUUUGCUUCUCACAUCAUAUUUCAGUGAUGUGA